CCCUUAGAUGUUCUGGGCUGCACGCGCGCUACACUGAUGCGUUCAACGAGUGUAUAACCUUGCCCGAUAGGGUUGGGUAAUCUUUUGAACACGCAUCGUGAUGGGGAUAGAUUAUUGCAAUUAUUAAUCUUCAACGAGGAAUUCCUAGUAAUGAUGAAUCAUCAGUUCAUCGUGAUUACGUCCCUGCCCUUUGUACACACCGCCCGUCGCACCUACCGAUUGAAUGGUCCGGUGAAAUCUCGGGACGGCGGCUUGGUCGCUUGCGUCCGACUGCUGAAACUUGAUUAAACCAUAUCAUUUAGAGGAAGGUGAAGUCGUAACA
rnacentral:rRNA from 1 species